rnacentral:rRNA from 1 species
UACGGAGGGUGCAAGCGUUAUCCGGAUUUACUGGGUUUAAAGGGCGCGUAGGUGGUUCUGUAUGUCUACCGUGAAAGCGUACGGCUCAACCGUAUUUUGUCGGUGGAAACUGCAGGACUUGAGGCUGGGAGGGGCUGGUGGAAUUCCCUGUGUAGCGGUGAAAUGCGUAGAGAUGGGGGAGAACACUCGUGGCGAAGGCGGCCAGCUAGACCAGUUCUGACACUGAGGCGCGACAGCGUGGGGAGCAAACAGG